AUGACCUACUACCGUCCCGGGGUUGAACUAAACCGCGAGAAGCUAAGUCAUUAUGUUUCAUGGCUUGAGGAUCUUGAUACUGUCAACACAAAUUUUCUGCCUGCACUUAGAAAUGUUAGUACUGAAAAAGUGCGACCAAUAGUGUUCGUAAUGAACUACGGUCACAUCUAUAUAGGAAGGAUGGUAAGAUUUUACUAUUUUUCCUCAGUGCAUCUUUUCCAUACAUUAUUUUUGAAGCUAAACUUCAUUGCUAAGUAUGUUACCAUACGAUGUUCUUCAACAGGGACUCCUGAUGAAUGUUGUGCCUUAUGGGAUCGAGACUAA
rnacentral:rRNA from 1 species